rnacentral:rRNA from 1 species
GACGAACGCUGGCGGCGUGCUUAACACAUGCAAGUCGAACGGAAGGACCCUACUUUUGUGUUUUUCUCGAUUGCCGCACGGGUGAGUAACACGUGUGUAUCCUCCCCUUAUCUUUGUGGUAACUUCACGAAACUGCGGCUAUUACCGCAUAUAAUCUCCUGCUCCAUGUUGUGCGUUGGAGAGUUUCGGCGUUUGGGUCUGGACUGGCGGCUUAUCCGCUUGUUGGUGGGGUAGUUGUUUACCAAGGCUUUGACGGGUAGGCGGCCUGAGAGGGUGACCGGCGACAAUGGGACUGAGAGACGGCCCAGACGGGUACGGGAGGCAGCAGGGGGGAAUAUUGCACAAGGGGGGGAAGCGAGAUGCAGAAGUGCUGCGUGCGGGAUGACGGGCUUCGGGGGGAAAACAGAUGUGGCAUGUGAUGAAGAGUGAUUGACGGUAAUGGGUAAAGAAGCAACGGCUAACUACGUG